rnacentral:rRNA from 1 species
GACGGAAGGUGCAAGCGUUGCUCGGAAUCACUGGGCGUAAAGGGUGCGUAGGCGGCCGUGCAAGUCUGGCGUGAAAGCCCCGGGCUCAGCCCGGGAAGUGCGCUCGAAACUGCGCGGCUCGAGUGCCGGGGGGGAGAGUGGAAUUCCUGGUGUAGCGGUGAAAUGCGCAGAUAUCAGGAGGAACACCGGUGGCGAAGGCGGGUCUCUGGGCCGAUACUGACGCUGAGGAGCGAAAGCGUGGGGAGCGAACAGG